GAUGAACGCUGGCGGCGUGCUUAACACAUGCAAGUCGAACGGAAAGGCCCCUUUGGGGGUACUCGAGUGGCGAACGGGUGAGUAACACGUGAGUAACCUGCCCUUGACUUCGGGAUAACUUCAGGAAACUGGGGCUAAUACCGGAUAGGAAUCCUUGCUGCAUGGUGGGGGUUGGAAAGCUUCGGCGGUUUUGGAUGGACUCGCGGCUUAUCAGCUUGUUGGUGGGGUAGUGGCUUACCAAGGCUUUGACGGGUAGCCGGCCUGAGGGGGCGACCGGCCACAUUGGGACUGAGAUACGGCCCAGACUCCUACGGGAGGCAGCAGUGGGGAAUAUUGCACAAUGGGCGGAAGCCUGAUGCAGCAACGCCGCGUGCGGGAUGACGGCCUUCGGGUUGUAAACCGCUUUCAGCAGGGGCGAAGCUUGUGGUGACGGUACCUGCAGAAGAAGCACCGGCUAACUACGUG
rnacentral:rRNA from 1 species